rnacentral:rRNA from 1 species
ACUCAAAUGAAUAGACGGGGGCCCGCACAAGCAGUGGAGUAUGUGGUUUAAUUCGAAGCAACGCGAAGAACCUUACCUGGGCUUGACAUACCUCUGACAGGUGUAGAGAUACACCGUCCUUCGGGCAGAGGAUACAGGUGGUGCAUGGUUGUCGUCAGCUCGUGUCGUGAGAUGUUGGGUUAAGUCCCGCAACGAGCGCAACCCCUAUUGUCAGUUGCUAACAUUUAGUUGAGAACUUUGGCAAGACUGCCGGUGACAAAUCGGAGGAAGGUGGGGACGACGUCAAAUCAUCAUGCCCCUUAUGUCCAGGGCUACACACGUACUACAAUGGCCAUUAACAACAGGAAGCUAAGCCGCGAGGCAGCGCAAAUCCCCAAAAAUGGUCUCAGUUCGGAUUGCAGGCUGAAACUCGCCUGUAUGAAGUCGGAAUUGCUAGUAAUCGCGAAUCAGCAUGUCGCGGUGAAUACGUUCCCGGGCCUUGUACACACCGCCCGU